rnacentral:rRNA from 1 species
UACGUAGGGUGUGAGCGUUAAUCGGAAUUACUGGGCGUAAAGCGUGCGCAGGCGGUUCGUUAAGUCAGAUGUGAAAGCCCCGGGCUCAACCUGGGAACUGCAUUUGAAACUGGCGGGCUUGAGUAUGGCAGAGGGGGGUGGAAUUCCGCGUGUAGCAGUGAAAUGCGUAGAGAUGCGGAGGAACACCGAUGGCGAAGGCAGCCCCCUGGGCCAAUACUGACGCUCAGGCACGAAAGCGUGGGGAGCAAACAGG